rnacentral:rRNA from 1 species
AGCGAACGCUGGCGGCAGGCCUAACACAUGCAAGUCGAACGAACUCUUCGGAGUUAGUGGCGGACGGGUGAGUAACACGUGGGAACGUGCCUUUUGGUUCGGAAUAACUCAGGGAAACUUGUGCUAAUACCGAAUGUGCCCUUCGGGGGAAAGAUUUAUCGCCAUUAGAGCGGCCCGCGUCUGAUUAGCUAGUUGGUGAGGUAACGGCUCACCAAGGCGACGAUCAGUAGCUGGUCUGAGAGGAUGACCAGCCACACUGGGACUGAGACACGGCCCAGACUCCUACGGGAGGCAGCAGUGGAGAAUCUUGCGCAAUGGGCGAAAGCCUGACGCAGCCAUGCCGCGUGAAUGAUGAAGGUCUUAGGAUUGUAAAAUUCUUUCACCGGGGACGAUAAUGACGGUACCCGGAGAAGAAGCCCCGGCUAACUUCGUG